AUCGCUUCUCGGCCUUUUGGCUCAGAUCAAGUGUAGUAUCUGUUCUUAUCAGUUUAAUAUCUGAUACGUCCCCCAUCGGGGACUACAUAUUAAAUGGAUUUUUCGAACAGGGAGUCGGAAAUGGGGCUUGCUCCGUCCCGCUCCACGCAUCGACCCGGUAUUGCAGUACCUCCGGGAAUGGUGCAACACUU
rnacentral:snRNA from 1 species